GGUGUAUUUAUGCAAAAGAUUGGAUCUCAGUGCAAAAAAUAGCCAAAUGGCUAUAGCUGCCCAUUGUGUCCUGCAUAAUAUAUGUGAAGCAAAGGGGGAAA